rnacentral:tRNA from 1 species
GUCAGUGUGAUCUAGUGGUUAAGAUACCAGGCUAGAAACCAGGAAUCUGUGAGUUCCUCUCCUGCCUUAGGCA